rnacentral:sRNA from 1 species
CAUGGAUGCACAAGUCAAAGCUAUUGCUGAUACUGGUGCAAAUGUCGUAGUAACAGGUGGCAAAGUGGCAGACAUGGCUCUUCAUUAUGCAAAUAAAUAUAAUAUCAUGUUAGUGAGGCUAAACUCAAAAUGGGAUCUCCGAAGACUUUGUAAAACAGUUGGUGCUACAGCUCUUCCUAGAUUGGUAUGUAUGUUGGAAAACACUAAAAGAUAGUUGAACAAGAUGGAAUUUUUAUUACAACAGUCACUUUCUUACAGACACCUCCUGUCCUUGAAGAAAUGGGACACUGUGACAGUGUUUGCCUCUCAGAAGUUGGAGAUACUCAGGUGGUGGUUUUUAAGCAUGGUAUGUAGGAAUGGUAAAACAUGUUUAAGUGUAGGGCUUUAGCUUCUUGUAUUUAAUCACCAAAUAUAUUUAAUUUUUUGAUAGAAAAGGAAGAUGGCGCCAUUUCUACCAUAGUACUUCGAGGCUCUACAGACAAUCUGAUGGAUGACAUAGAAAGGG